rnacentral:tRNA from 1 species
ACACUGAUGGUGAAACGGUAUCAUGCUUGCCUUCCAUCUCCCUCACCCACACGUAGCAAGCGGCGCGGGUUCGACUCCCGCUCAGUGUA